rnacentral:rRNA from 1 species
GAUGAACGCUAGCUACAGGCUUAACACAUGCAAGUCGAGGGGAAACGGCAUUGAGUGCUUGCACUCUUUGGACGUCGACCGGCGCACGGGUGAGUAACGCGUAUCCAACCUCCCCAUUACUGUGGGAUAACCUGCCGAAAGGCAGACUAAUACCGCAUAGUCUUCGAUGACGGCAUCAGAUUUGAAGUAAAGAUUUAUCGGUAAUGGAUGGGGAUGCGUCUGAUUAGCUUGUUGGCGGGGUAACGGCCCACCAAGGCUACGAUCAGUAGGGGUUCUGAGAGGAAGGUCCCCCACAUUGGAACUGAGACACGGUCCAAACUCCUACGGGAGGCAGCAGUGAGGAAUAUUGGUCAAUGGACGGAAGUCUGAACCAGCCAAGUAGCGUGCAGGAUGACGGCCCUAUGGGUUGUAAACUGCUUUUGUAUGGGGAUAAAGUUAGGGACGUGUCCCUAUUUGCAGGUACCAUACGAAUAAGGACCGGCUAAUUCCGUGCCAGCAGCCGCGGUAAUACGGAAGGUCCAGGCGUUAUCCGGAUUUAUUGGGUUUAAAGGGAGCGUAGGCUGGAGAUUAAGUGUGUUGUGAAAUGUAGACGCUCAACGUCUGACUUGCAGCGCAUACUGGUUUCCUUGAGUACGCACAACGUUGGCGGAAUUCGUCGUGUAGCGGUGAAAUGCUUAGAUAUGACGAAGAACUCCGAUUGCGAAGGCAGCUGACGGGAGCGCAACUGACGCUUAAGCUCGAAGGUGCGGGUAUCAAACAGG